rnacentral:rRNA from 1 species
CUACGGGAGGCAGCGGUGGGGAAUAUUGCACAAUGGGCGUAAGCCUGAUGCAGCGACGCCGCGUGGGGGAUGACGGCCUUCGGGUUGUAAACUCCUUUCGUCAGGGAAGAAGCCUUUGGGUGACGGUACCUGGAGAAGAAGCACCGGCUAACUACGUGCCAGCAGCCGCGGUAAUACGUAGGGUGCGAGCGUUGUCCGGAAUUAUUGGGCGUAAAGAGCUUGUAGGCGGUUUGUCGCGUCUGCGGUGAAAACCCGGGGCUUAACCUUGGGCGUGCCGUGGGUACGGGCAGGCUAGAGUGUGGUAGGGGAGACUGGAAUUCCUGGUGUAGCGGUGAAAUGCGCAGAUAUCAGGAGGAACACCGAUGGCGAAGGCAGGUCUCUGGGCCAUUACUGACGCUGAGAAGCGAAAGCAUGGGGAGCGAACAGGAUUAGAAACCCUGGUAGUCC